rnacentral:rRNA from 1 species
UGGGGGAUAUUGCACAAUGGGCGAAAGCCUGAUGCAGCGACGCCGCGUGGGGGAUGAAGGCCUUCGGGUUGUAAACUUCUUUUACUCUGAACAAGGCGCACCAUGGGGUGUGUUGAGUGUAGGGGUUGAUUAGCGACGGCUAACUACGUGCCAGCAGCCGCGGUAAUACGUAGGGCGCGAGCGUUGUCCGGAAUUAUUGGGCGUAAAGGGCUUGUAGGUGGCUGGUUGCGUCUGUCGUGAAAGCUCAUGGCUUAACUGUGGGUUUGCGGUGGGUACGGGCUGGCUUGAGUGCAGUAGGGGAGGCUGGAAUUCCUGGUGUAGCGGUGGAAUGCGCAGAUAUCAGGAGGAAUACCGGUGGCGAAGGCGGGUCUCUGGGCUGUUACUGACACUGAGGAGCGAAAGCAUGGGGAGCGAACAGG